rnacentral:rRNA from 1 species
GACGAACGCUGGCGGCGUGCUUAACACAUGCAAGUCGAACGGAAAGGCCCUGCUUUUGUGGGGUGCUCGAGUGGCGAACGUGUGAGUAACACGUGAGUAACCUGCCCUUGACUUUGGGAUAACUUCAGGAAACUGGGGCUAAUACCGGAUAGGAGCUCCUGCUGCAUGGUGGGGGUUGGAAAGUUUCGGCGGUUGGGGAUGGACUCGCGGCUUAUCAGCUUGUUGGUGGGGUAGUGGCUUACCAAGGCUUUGACGGGUAGCCGGCCUGAGAGGGUGACCGGCCACAUUGGGACUGAGAAACGGCCCAGACUCCUACGGGAGGAAGCAGUGGGGAAUAAUGCACAAUGGGCGGAAGCCUGAUGAAGCAACGACGCGUGCGGGAUGACGGACUUCGGGUUGUAAACCGCUUUCGCCUGUGAAGAAGAGUGAGUGACGGUAAUGGGUAAAGAAGCACCGGCUAACUACGUG